GUGUGUGUGUUUGUGUGUGUGUGUGUGUGUGUGUGUGUUUGUUCAUGUGUGGGUAUUCUUCUCUUCUUCUAUCUUUGUUUUUUUUUGUCUUGUUUUGUUUAUGUUUUGUUUUGUACAGUAUUUGUGUUUGCCAUUUUCCUGCGAAUGAAAUGUGUUUUGAAAAUAAAGUUUGAUAUGAUUUGAUGAUCCCACAUGAUAGCUUUGAUUUUCUUCUCAAUGUUACCAUGUUUUAUAGCAUUUCCUGUCCUACUGUUCCUAUGUUGGUUCUACUUCCUGUUGGAUUGCCUGUUUUCCUGCACCUUCACUUUCUGUUUUGUUCCCUGCCAGCACACCUGUUUUCCAUUAGGAAUUCCAGCCUAUUUAGUCUCACCUGUUGCUCCUUUCUGGAUCAUUGUUCUUUGUGCCUUGAAGAGCAUUUGUUUUCUGUGCACUUCCAUGCUGCACUAGAUUUUUUUGCCUUGCCUUGUUCUUUACCCGUAUAAAAAGGGCUUUAACUUGCACCCAGCCUUCCUUGCUCCCAUCCUGUGGUCUAGCCCAACAACGCCAACCAGAGAACAUGCUGCUGGGUAAUGCUUCACCUGCCGUAAAAAUACAGAAGGUUACAGUGAAGAAAGAAGAAGAUCGCUAAAAGAGCUUGCGGCCAAACAAACAUGACAGUGCAUCUACGGGAGCAUCGCAAAAUCCAAGGGGCCCUAUUCUCCCAUGUGCCUAAGUGAAAAAUGGUGCAUUGAUUCUGGCUGCGUGGCAUUCCCCCACUCCAUCUACAUCAGUGAUGUUGUGGAAUGGGAAAAUAUCGACCCCUGGAUGGCCCGUUAUUGACAAGUGGGUGGAUUUCAGGAAGUGACCUUGACUGGCUAAAAGGAGCACCUGACCAACGGCUGGCUCCAUUUCCCACAGUCAAGCGUAUCUGCGGUGACACCCGUCCCCCUGGAAGCACACUAAAAGACUUGGUAAACAUAUCUUAGGGGAUGCUUCAUUUCUUGAUACGGCUGCAUACAUAUUUGGGGAGUUGGAGUGGCGUUGAUUGUAAUUGAAGCAGAUAGAUGGAAUUCAUCCGUGACAGACAAGGGACCCUAUAAAGACUGGGCACUUUUUUACCCAGAAAAACAAUCUGGUCUAUACUCUUCAGUACAAUGACGGCAGCACUUAGAAACUAACAGGUGAGCAGGCGCAUGUCACAGUAUACUGAUGGACAAACUCUUCAGGUCAAGACUCAGCUGUCUACAGGAACCCCAAAGAGAAAUAGCACUCUCUUGUGGACAACUAUGUAGAGAAGGUUAGAAAGAGAGUGAGGGAGAAGGGAAACCAUAUCUGAACAGAGGGGUAAUAUCUCCCAAACAUGUCAUUUCAACUCCUCCUAAGCAAUUGAAUAAUUUAGCAUCCAACAAAUAACAUGCAAGUCGUGGGCACUUUUGGUUUCAGGUACGCUCUUGACCAU